GCUGUGAUAGCCUAGUGUUUUCCGUUAUGGAUCCUACCUACCUUCAAAAUCUUUCCCUUGGGUUGGGUGAUAGUUUUGCAGGGAGCAUUGUGUCGUCAAUGGAAGUCUUCCGUUUCAUUAGUUCGUGUACGAACUCGUAUUUGGAUACUCAAGACUCACCGGUAUUACAAGGUUUUACCUCUCGGAUUUAUGACCUCUCUGCCUUUGUUGCAGUGUGUCUAACCCUGUUGGUUGCACUAGUUGUGAUCAUAUCAAUGGGUAUCUCUAAGCUUGUCUACAAGGUAGACUGUCAAGAACUCACUAACCUUCUUUCAGAGAGUUGGUCAUUCGAUGUUCACCGGAUCUUACUCGCUAUUCGAUCCCUUAUCUUUUCCUUUGUUGCUUUAUAUGCUCAUUUAUCUUGUUGUUGUGCUUAUGUUAUGGCAAACUCUUUGGCUUGUGAUGCCUUCCUAUGUUGUAACACCUCCUCUUCUAAUGGAGUUCUAAACGUUUAAGUUAAUGAAGUAAUGUUUGACCAAAAAAAAAAAAAAAAAAAAGAUAUGCAUCUAGAAUCAAUUUAUGUCUCAACCCCUUCAAUUAUAAUUUAUAAGUAGUUGAACAUCCAUUAUCUUAUAUAUAAUAUGCAUUCUUGCCACUUUAAGGGACAAUAGUGGCUACUUUACUUAGUUGUGUGGAAGGUUAUGUGCAAUUCGUAUCUUAAAUUUAAUUAGGUUAAUUAGAUAGAUUCAACUGUAAUAUACUAGGUCCCAUAUUAAUCUAUGAUGAGAACUGAUAUGAAUUAUUAUUAUGAAUAUUUUCAUUUCAAACUAAUCAGAAAAAAGUUUAAUGAUUCCAUCCCUAAGACACUUGAUUUACAUCGUUUUUAAUGGAGGUUCUUUCCAUUAUUUUUAAACUAAAAAUUCAAUACAUAUCUAAAAACGUGUCUCGCGCUUACUUGUCUAUAUAUUAGUUUGGAAAUAUUGGGUUUUGAGUCCUAAGUGACUAGUUUUAUAUCGGUAUAUCCUAUGCUGCUGGAUACAUAUCAACUUUAACAAACAAUUAAGAGACCAAGUGUAUAUUGAACUUAUCAUAGUAGGCUAUGCAUUUUGAUAAAUCAUCUUAUAAAUAAGGCUCCAUAUCUUUAGUUUUAUAUAAACCCUAUUAUGUAAAAGAUGAAAUUCUGAUUUGCAUUAUCACCUAAAUAUGAAUAACGAUUACUUAGACAUAUAAAAGUUUAAAGUUAUUUAGAAAAUAAAUAAAUUGAAAAUGUAAAUACAGAUGAAAAGGUUCACUUUUGUGUCAUGCGAAUGUGGAUGUAAAUGCAUCGGAGAAACGUGUCGAUAACUCAUGGUUUAGUUACAGUAUCAAAUAUAAUACGUCUUUGCGAUUGGGGAACUAUAUGCUACACAAAUUCCCUCUGACACAGUCUGGCAGAUUAUCCGACUUUUUAACGUAAAAUAUCAUUCGAAAAUCUAAUUAAAUAACUUUCAGCUUUAUAAUUUAGCAAAAAAAAAAUGAUUCAAAUACCAAAUUCGAGCUGAACCAUGCAUAUUGUCGGGCGUCUAUCUCCACAUCAUUUUCUAUCUUUUUACUAUUUGUUUUGAUAUAUAAAUUCGUAUCAUAAUUGUUCGAUAAUCAUUGAUCUUCAAAGCCGUAACGAUUACCAAUUUAUCAUAUCUCUCGGUGGAAGCAAAAAAAUUAAUGUUCACUCAGUGCGCAUUUAGUCACUAUUCAUAUCAAAACUAUAGAUUAUAGGAUUUUACUCGAAUAUAAUUGUAUACUAGACUAAUAUAAUUGUAAAUUAGAGAAUUCCAGUACAUCAGAUAUAAUGAACUAUCCAAUAAUCCAAACGUCAAAAAUGUUGGGACUAUAUAUCUACAUAGAGACUUGUGUGUCUAUAUAUGUGUAAACAUAAAUAUUAAGCUCAAGAUAAUAUAUGUUUUAGGGUGGGUUUAAAAGAAACGCAUGAUCUGAUAGAACAUUUAGGAAGAAAAAUAAAGAAAGUGGAUGUGGGUCAAAAGUGUGGGUGCGUUUUUGGUAAUAAAGAGAAAUGGGAAAAGAAAGAGGGCAACAAAUCCAAAUGGUCAUCUAAUCACCCUCCAGCAAUUUCAUUUCCACACACAAACCUUUGGGUCUGCACAAAGUUAUUGUCUUUUGAUUUUCUUUUUCUUGAUGAAAAUGGCAGAGAAUUUGAGCAAUUUGGCAAUCUUAUUGGCUUGGGGUCGUCUCUUAAAUAUAUCAGAAAUAUAUUUCACUAGUUGUAGUCCAAGUCUUGUUUUGUUUUUUUUUUAUCUUUCUUUGGUGAUGUUUAUCAAAUGUAUAUUGUGAAAAUUUGGAUUUUCCGAAUGUUAUUUGUAUUGUUAUUAACGGGCUUUUUAUGUUAAUGACUGAGCCGACAAAGAGAGAAAGAAAAAGAUAGUAACAAUUCAAGAAAGGAACGUAAAAUGUUUUGGUCAAAGAAUCUUUUUCAAUAAGAUGAUAAAUUCUGAAUCUCAUUUGUCAUGUCCAGUAAUGUAACCAAUCGUUUGUUACAGAAAAAUAUAACAAGAAUAAUGUAACCAAUCGUAUUACUUUAUAAAGUUUAAUUGAAUAUAAUAUGAAUGAACUUUUUAUAUAAGAAUGCUAAUUACUGAAUUUAGAAAUAUAUCAAAUUAACUUUCACAUAUAUGUGAUAUUUUCUUCCUUUUGAUUGAGGACAUGUUAAUAAUAUUAUCAAACCAAGAUUAAAUAUAUAUAUAUAUAUAACAUGUUAAAAAGUGUAAAUGUCCAAAGAAAAAUUAUAUUUCAUGGAUACUAAACUAAGAAGAUUAUGUUCCCAUGCUAAGUAUAUGUUUCCACCUGCAUCAGAGACUUCUUCUGUAGAAGAGCACAUAAACUGCACCUGACUUCACAUAAUCCUCAUUUACAUGUGAUAUAUUACUGUCAUCAAAAUUAUACCACCUAUUCUCCUCCAAAAGCUACAGAGAAAAUCAAAACCAAAGUAAGAAACUCAAAAGCAGAGGAACAUAAUCAAACUAACAACCAUUUGGAGAACUAAAGAUAGACUUUAAUAUGUGUUGUGAAGACGAAUUAAUUUGAAAAAAGUAAAAAAGAGCAAAAAAUGUAUUGAGGCAAAUAUUCGUUUAGAGUUUUUUAUUAUUAUGUGAAUGAAUAAACUUACAAACGAUUAGACCCGUAUUUAUAGCAGCCUCAAAAACCGGGUUUUUUCCUAUAUGAAUACAUACUUAUCUAGAAAAAAAUUUUUUUUCUAAACUGAUAACUUUUACCGUAAUUUUCCAAAAAAAAUAAAUUUUACCAACGAAAGAUGAGUUUUUACUGGUGCACGGAGAGAUUUAAGA